UACAGAGGUCUCAAGCGUUGUUCGGAUUUACUGGGCGUAAAGCGUGCGCAGGCGGUCUCGCAAGUCCGAUGUGAAAUCCCCGGGCUCAACCUGGGAACUGCGUUGGAAACUACGAGGCUGGAGUACGGCAGAGGGGGGUGGAAUUCCACGUGUAGCAGUGAAAUGCGUAGAUAUGUGGAGGAACACCGAUGGCGAAGGCAGCCCCCCUGGGCUAGUACUGACGCUCAUGCACGAAAGCGUGGGGAGCAAACAGG
rnacentral:rRNA from 1 species